rnacentral:misc_RNA from 1 species
AAGUCGUAACAAGGUUUCCGUAGGUGAACCUGCGGAAGGAUCAUUAUUGUACAACGGAGGUGUGAGGGCUGUCGCUGACCUUUCAAAGGUCGUGCACGCCCAAGCACUUUCAUACAAUCCAUCUCACCCCUUUGUGCAUCACCGCGUGGGUCCCCUUUGCGGGAGGGCUCACGUUUUCACACAAAACUCGAUACAGUGUAGAAUGUUCUUUUGCGAUCACACGCAAUCAAUACAA